rnacentral:lncRNA from 1 species
CUUCAGCCAGCCCUCGUGGUCUAGUUAAGAUUUGGUGUUCUCCCCACUACCGGGGCUCAUUUCCAGGUCAGGGAACCACACCAUCCGUCUGUCAUUGUCAUACAGUGGUGGCUCCGUGUGGCUGUGAUGCUGAAAACUCUGCCACUGGGAUUUCAAAUACCAGCAGGGUCACCCUUGGUGGACAGGCAUCAGCGGAGCUUCCAGACUAAGACAGACUAGAGAGGAGGACCUGGCCUCCCACUUCCGAAAACAUUGGCCAUGAAAACCCUGUCCACAGGGGCACUAGGUAUUGGAAUCCACCUGAUGGCACUAACAACAAAACGUUUCGACCAGGGACUUGUACCUAGUAGAUCCUCAGUGGUAGCUGGGCCAGUAGAUAUUUGACCCUGGAACUCUGGCAGGUGGUCAAUGCUGAAGUCAUCCAGGGGAGAGUCAUCGGAGUAUUAUGACAUCUGAAUACGUGUAGCACUGACAGAUCACUUGGGGUAAGUAUACAGUAGGCUCCAGUGAGACUCACUGUAUGCAGAUGAAACAUUUAAAAUGGUCCAAAGAGAUUCGAUACAUAUAGAGUCAAUGAAGAGGCAGUAGCUGUAUGGAGACUUGGAGUUUAGCAAAGGUUUUCAAAUUGUUUUUGAUAUUAAAGCAUGUUUGUAACUAAUGAAUAUUAUUUUGGAGAGUGGUAAAAAUUGAUGAUGCAGGGGAGACAGAGAAGGAGAAAGGGAGUGUGUAUAUAAACUGAUAUGGAGAUAUGUAAUCGUCAGUUGUUCUUUGCCCAAAUAUGUACCCCUUGUAUCUCCUGGGCAUCUUGGGACUCAUCUCUAAAUUUCAUGUAAAGUGGCUGAGUGUAUUGGCUCUCCAGUUGUGAAUCUGAUUCUUGGCCAAGUGUAUUCCUGGAUAUGAUUCUGAUUUGCAUAUAGCUGUCUACACUGGUGGUAGUAGUAGAUGAAUGCUUUUGGUUCGGUGCAUUUUAUCAUUAGGAUUAAGUGGCUAUUUAAGGUAGUAGAUAACAUGGAUUUUAGUUUGUCUGCAUUUGCAUUUCUCUGUUUGCCUAGAGGAUUCUGAUAUUUGCUGGCAUUUGGGAACACGAAGUUGAGAAGUUGUUACUCUAUUGUCUUGGUGACCACCACAACCCUCUGUGAUUGAGUGUGUGUGUGUAUGCCCGCUCAUGUACCAACACGAGGUCCUCUAAUCCUAAAAGGUUCAGAGUGUGUUCAUCCCUGCCAAGCCUUCGUUUUCUUGUUUACUCAUUGUGGG